GAAGAGAUUCGGAGAAUAGUCGACCACUAUAGAGAAUCGGCUGAAAGUGAAGUUCAGAGAGCGUUUGGAGCAGUCCGGUAGAUGAAAGGAGAAGCUCAUGAUUGGAGAAGUCCGGAUGGUAUUAUGGAAGCUCGGAUGGUCGGGGGAGUUCGGAAAGACGCCACACAAGGUUGGAAGCCGGAAGAGCCCUGGAAGGGUCGGCCUUUUACAAACUUCGGCUAGGG
rnacentral:lncRNA from 1 species